GGUCUGAGAGGAUGAUCAGCCACACUGGAACUGAGACACGGUCCAGACUCCUACGGGAGGCAGCAGUGGGGAAUAUUGCACAAUGGAGGAAACUCUGAUGCAGCAACGCCGCGUGGAGGAUGACGCAUUUCGGUGUGUAAACUCCUUUUAUAUGGGAAGAUAAUGACGGUACCAUAUGAAUAAGCACCGGCUAACUCCGUGCCAGCAGCCGCGGUAAUACGGAGGGUGCAAGCGUUACUCGGAAUCACUGGGCGUAAAGCGCGCGCAGGCGGCCUUUUAAGUUGGAUGUGAAAGCCUACGGCUCAACCGUAGAACUGCAUCCAAAACUAUUGGGCUAGAGUGUGGGAGAGGAAGAUGGAAUUAGUUGUGUAGGGGUAAAAUCCGUAGAGAUAACUAGGAAUACCAAAAGCGAAGGCAAUCUUCUGGGACAUUACUGACGCUGAGGCGCGAAAGCGUGGGGAGCAAACAGGAUUAGAUACCCUGGUAGUCCACGCCCUAAACGAUGAAUGUUAGUCGUCGGGUAGCUAGUCUAUUCGGUGAUGCAGCUAACGCAUUAAACAUUCCGCCUGGGGAGUACGGUCGCAAGAUUAAAACUCAAAGGAAUAGACGGGGACCCGCACAAGUGGUGGAGCAUGUGGUUUAAUUCGAAAAUACGCGAAGAACCUUACCUAGCCUUGACAUAUAUUAGAACACCCUAGAGAUAGAGUGGUGCCUUCGGGAGCUUUUAUACAGGUGCUGCACGGCUGUCGUCAGCUCGUGUCGUGAGAUGUUGGGUUAAGUCCCGCAACGAGCGCAACCCUCGUCACUAGUUACUAACGGUUCGGCCGAGGACUCUAGUGAGACUGCCUUCGUAAGGAGGAGGAAGGUGAGGACGACGUCAAGUCAUCAUGGCCCUUACGGCUAGGGCAACACACGUGCUACAAUGGCCAGGACAAUGAGACGCGAUACCGCGAGGUGGAGCAAAUCUAUAAACCUGGUCUCAGUUCGGAUUGUAGUCUGCAACUCGACUACAUGAAGCUGGAAUCACUAGUAAUCGUAGAUCAGCUAUGCUACGGUGAAUACGUUCCCGGGUCUUGUACUCACCGCCCGUCACACCAUGGGAGUUGAUUUCACCCGAAGCGGGGAAGCUAAACUGGCUACCCUCCACGGUGGAAUCAGCGACUGGGGUGAAGUCGUAACAAGGUAACCGUAGGAGAACCUGCGGUUG
rnacentral:rRNA from 1 species